rnacentral:rRNA from 1 species
AGCACGAAUGUACAACUUUCAACAACGGAUCUCUUGGCUCUCGCAUCGAUGAAGAACGCAGCGAAAUGCGAUAAGUAAUGUGAAUUGCAGAAUUCAGUGAAUCAUCGAAUCUUUGAACGCACCUUGCACCCUUUGGUAUUCCGAAGGGUAUGCUCGUUUGAGUGUCAUUGUACUCUCACACUUCUAAUUCGUUUUGGAUUAGGAGCGGUGGACUUGGGUGUUGCUGCUUUAGUUGUGGCUCACCUCAAAUGAGUUAGUACAACUCUUGGUUGGACAUAGUACGGCGUGAUAAGUGUCUUCGCCGGCGCCUCCUCACAAGGAGGGUGGCCGAUCGGGAGCUCUGUGCUUCAACCGUCUCUCGGACAAUCUCUGACAACUUGACCUCAAAUCGAGUAGGACUACCCGCUGAACCUAAGCAUAUCAAUAAGCGGAGGAAAAGAAACUAACAAGGAUUCCCCUAGUAACGGCGAGUGAAGAGGGAAAAGCUCAAAUUUUGAAUCUGGUGUCUUUGACUCCCGAGUUGUAAUCUAGAGAAGUGUUUUCCGUGUCGGACCGUGCACAAGUUCCCUGGAACGGGGCGUCAUAGAGGGUGAGAAUCCCGUAUAUGGCACGGACCGCCGAUGCUUUUGUGAUACACUCUCAACGAGUCGAGUUGUUUGGGAAUGCAGCUCAAAAUGGGUGGUAAAUUCCAUCUAAAGCUAAAUAUUGGCGAGAGACCGAUAGCGAACAAGUACCGUGAGGGAAAGAUGAAAAGCACUUUGGAAAGAGAGUGAAACAGUACGUGAAAUUGUUGAAAGGGAAACGCUUGAAGUCAGUCACGCCCUUUGGGAUUCAGCCUUGCUUCUGCUUGGUUUACUUCCUUUGGGUGGGUCAACAUCAGUUUUGGUCGGAGGAGAAAGGCUUGGGGAAUGUAGCAAC